rnacentral:rRNA from 1 species
AUGUUGAAUGUGAUUGACAAAAAAUGUUUCCUUUCCAAAAUACGAUCACAUACCCGUGAAGUGUAUGUGGAAAUGUUUCACCAUGCUAGAAACAUUUUUUUGCACGUGUUGCGUGUAGGGGAGCACGCCACUACAAAGCUGGCCGGUGCUUCAAUACCGGCUACCGCCGCCACAGACGGGUACCGCAUCGUUGUGAAGUCUGGUUGGAGCCAUUGCAAGCUCGAGGUGCCACUGAUGUUGCAAGCAAGGACCCGUGCCGCUACAAAGGCUAGGUGGCGUUGUUGCAAGUCAGGUAGUUGUUGCAAUGUUGGGCGCCUCCACUAUAAGUUGAGAUGGGACACUGCAAGGACACUAUAA